rnacentral:sRNA from 1 species
CCUUACUCCUGACAGCAGCAGAAAUCCUUUGCUUUGUUUCUUUAACAAAGGAAAGAUUGCAGCGAAUGGCAGGAAUUUCA